GUCUAUGGCCAUGCCACCCCGAACACAUCUAAUCUCGAAAGCUAAGCAGGGUCGGGCUUGGUUAGUGCUUGGAUGGGAGACAACCUAGGAAGACCAGGUGCUGAAGGCA
rnacentral:rRNA from 1 species